rnacentral:rRNA from 1 species
ACGCGUGGGUAACCUGCCUUGUANCGGGGGAGUAACUAUUGGAAACGAUAGCUAAUACCGCAUAACAAUGGAUGACACAUGUCAUUUAUUUGAAAGGGGCAAUUGCUCCACUACAAGAUGGACCUGCGUUGUAUUAGCUAGUAGGUGAGGUAAUGGCUCACCUAGGCGACGAUACAUAGCCGACCUGAGAGGGUGAUCGGCCACACUGGGACUGAGACACGGCCCAGACUCCUACGGGAGGCAGCAUG